rnacentral:rRNA from 1 species
AUGAACGCUGACAGAAUGCUUAACACAUGCAAGUCAACUUGAAUUUGGGUUUUUAACUUAGGUUUGGGUGGCGGACGGGUGAGUAACGCGUAAAGAACUUGCCUCACAGCUAGGGACAACAUUUGGAAACGAAUGCUAAUACCUAAUAUUAUGAUAAUAGGGCAUCCUAUAAUUAUGAAAGCUAUAAGCGCUGUGAGGGAGCUUUGCGUCCCAUUAGCUAGUUGGAGAGGUAACGGCUCACCAAGGCGAUGAUGGGUAGCCGGCCUGAGAGGGUGAUCGGCCACAAGGGGACUGAGACACGGCCCUUACUCCUACGGGAGGCAGCAGUGGGGAAUAUUGGACAAUGGACCGAGAGUCUGAUCCAGCAAUUCUGUGUGCACGAUGAAGUUUUUCGGAAUGUAAAGUGCUUUCAGUUGGGAAGAAACAAAUGACGGUACCAACAGAAGAAGUGACGGCUAAAUACGUG